UACGUAGGGAGCAAGCGUUGUCCAGAAUCAUUGGGCGUAAAGCGCGCGUAGGUGGCCAUUUAAGUCCGCUGUGAAAGUCAAAGGCUCAACCUUUGAAAGCCGGUGGAUACUGGAUGGCUAGAGUACGGAAGAGGCGAGUGGAAUUCCUGGUGUAGCGGUGGAAUGCGCAGAUAUCAGGAGGAACACCAAUAGCGAAGGCAGCUCGCUGGGACGUUACUGACACUGAGGCGCGAAAGCGUGGGGAGCGAACAGG
rnacentral:rRNA from 1 species